rnacentral:tRNA from 2 species
GGGGGGAUGCCCGAGUGGUUAAAGGGGACGGGCUGUAAACCCGUUGGCUCUGCCUACGCAGGUUCGAAUCCUGCUCCCCCCA